AGACCUCUAAUCGGAAAAGACCACCCGCUGAGUUUAAGCAUAUCAAUA
rnacentral:rRNA from 2 species